rnacentral:snRNA from 1 species
GGAUGUGAGGGCGAUCUGGCUGCGACAUCUGUCACCCCAUUGAUCGCCAGGGUUGAUUCGGCUGAUCUGGCUGGCUAGGCGGGUGUCCCCCUCCUCCCUCACCAAUCCAUGUGCGUCCCUCCCGAAGCUGCGCGCUCGGUCGAAGAGGACGACCUUCCCCCCCUAGGAGAGGGGGCGCAGU